rnacentral:sRNA from 1 species
CAGCCCUGCAGCCUCUGAAAUGCUCUGACAGCAAAGAAGAUGAUGGACAAGAAAUAGCCUGACCAUGAGGACCAGGGAGCUGCUGCCCCUCCCUACAGCUCCUACCCUCUGCCUGCAAUGGGGCUGCACUGUGAGCCCUGCCCCCAACAGAUGCAUCCUGCUCUGACAGGUGGGCUCCUUCUCCAAAGGAUGCGAUACACAGACCACUGUGCAGCCUUAUUUCUCCAAUGGACGUGAUUCCCAAGUCAUCCUGCUGCCUUUUUUCUUAUAGACACAAUGAACCACCCACGACCUUAGUUCUCUAAGUCAUCCUGCCUGCUGCCUUAUUUCACAGUACAUACAUUUCUUAGGGACACAGUACACUGACCACAUCACCACCCUCUUCUUCCAGUGCUGCGUGGACCAUCUGGCUGCCUUUUUUCUCCAAAAGAUGCAAUAUUCAGGCUGACUGACCCCCUGCCUUAUUUCACCAAAGACACGAUGCAUAGUCACCCCGGCCUUGUUUCUCCAAUGGCCGUGAUACACUAGUGAUCAUGUUCAGCCCUGCUUCCACCUGCAUAGAAUCUUGUCUUCUCAGACAGGGACAGUGCGGCCUCAACAUCUCCUGGAGUCUAGAAGCUGUUUCCUUUCCCCUCCUUCCUCCUCUUGCUCUAGCCUUAAUACUGGCCUUUUCCCUCCCUGCCCCAAGUGAAGACAGGGCACUCUGCGCCCACCACAUGCACAGCUGUGCAUGGAGACCUGCAGGUGCACGUGCUGGAACACGUGUGGUUCCCCCUGGCCCAGCCUCCUCUGCAGUGCCCCUCUCCCCUGCCCAUCCUCCCCACGGAAGCAUGUGCUGGUCACACUGGUUCUCCGGGGGUCUGUGAUGGGGCCCCUGGGGGUCAGCUUCUGUCCCUCUGCCUUCUCGCCUCUUUGUUCCUUUCUUUUCAUGUAUCCAUUCAGUUGAUGUUUAUUGAGCAACUACAGAUGUCAGCACUGUGUUAGGUGCUGGGGGCCCUGCGUGGGAAGAUAAAGUUCCUCCCUCAAGGACUCCCCAUCCAGCUGGGAAACAGACAACUAACUACACUGCACCCUGCGGUUUGCAGGGGGCUCCUGCCUGGCUCCCUGCUCCACACCUCCUCUGUGGCUCAAGGCUUCCUGGAUACCUCACCCCCAUCCCACCCCAUAAUUCUUACCCAGAGCAUGGGGUUGGGGCGGAAACCUGGAGAGAGGGACAUAGCCCCUCGCCACGGCUAGAGAAUCUGGUGGUGUCCAAAAUGUCUGUCCAGGUGUGGGCAGGUGGGCAGGCACCAAGGCCCUCUGGACCUUUCAUAGCAGCAGAAGAGGCAGAGCCUGGGGCAGGGCAGGGCCAGGAAUGCUUUGGGGACACCGAGGGGACUGCUCCCCACCCCCACCAUGGUGCUAUUCUGGGGCUGGGGCAGUUUUUUCCUGGCUUGCCUCUGGCCAGCUCCCGGCCUCUGGUAGAGUGAGACUUCAGACGUUCUGAUGCCUUCCGGAUGUCAUCUCUCCCUGCCCCAGGAAUGGAAGAUGUGAGGACUUCUAAUUUAACUGUGGGACUCGGAGGGAUUUUGUAAACUGGGGGUAUAUUUUGGGGAAAAUAAAUGUCUUUGUAAAAA